GGGAACAUUAAUGCUGUGGUAAAAUCAUAAUUUUUUCAUCUUAGACGUCUCUCUAAGGUCUCUCAAUGGCCUUGCGGCGAGCACAUUUCUCCAACCUGCUGCACCCCUACAACCCCUCUUGUUCCCUCAGGUCAGCUGACCAGAUGCUGCCGGUGGUUCCUAAAUAACAGAGGAAAUUGGGAGGUGAUUGAGCAUUUUCUGCUGUAGACCCAAAGCUCUGGAUCAAGCUGCCCCUGCACAUAAUACAAGCCCCCUCAGUUGUGAUGCUUUUCAGUCUCACGUGAAAACACACUUUUAAACUGUGGCUGUUUAGUCUGAUUUUAUUGUGCUGUUAUUGUUUUAGGAUAUAUAUUUAUUUUUCUCUGUCUUGUUUUACUUGUUGCGCAGCACUUUGGUCAACAAUGUGUUGUUUUUUAAAGUGCUAUAUAAAUAAACAUGGUAUAGUAUGAUAAAUAAUCAGGGUGGUUAAACACCCAUAUAAACUUAAGAGUGCUCAUUAUGCCAUUAUUAUUCCCUUUUACAACUUGUUCCCGACCUUUGACCUUAUCUACAUAUUCAGCUUUGGAUUGCUGAACAUGAAGCAAUGGCUUUGGCACUACUUUUUUUGUUCUUUUUGCAAACACUCUUUACUUCAUUUCUAGCAGCAUGAUCAGGCUCCUGCUGCAGCGUGUUUUUACUUCAGUCUCUUCAGAAUCUGCCUCAAAACAAAGAGCCACAAACACAACAGCAAAAAUGCUAAGAGGAUAUAUUAUAAAUAUAAACAGAUAAUGUCACAAAACAUUUUUAUUAUAGCUUCUACAUUGUAUUAAACUGAAUUAAAAGUGAUUAUAAACACAAAACGGUAGAAGCAUUAGAUAAAGGAGAACAUGUCGAUAAACAGGGAAAUGCUAUGCCAUAAUGUCAGGCAGAGAAGCUUAAGACGCACACUCCUUUGUGUGGGUACGCCGGUGGCGUUUAGGCGUGUUGAUCAUAAGUCUACGUUAACAUCUGUUCUCUUAUCUACAACAACUGUUAGCCAGUGCUCAGGUGGAGGUUAUAGGACCAAAGUCUGCCCAGCAUGAAGGAAGGCGAUGAGCUUUUAGGACCAACGGCUCUACUGCUGCCCUGUUUGCGUUUAAUUGAACUGUCCCACGGAAACAGGCGCCAGAUUGCUGCUGUAGUCUAUGGGUUCUUUCUGCGCGAAAAAUAAAUAAAUAAGAGAUACGUUCGCAUGAAUUAUAGUGAUAGGAUGUGUAGCUGGGGGACAGAAAUGACUUGGUUGCUAUGACAACCACAAGAGAGCACCCCACAAUCACACACACACACACACACACAGCUUCACCCGCCACCCCACUUUAAGUCUGAAUAUAUGCAAUCCAGAACCCACCGACACAGUCGACAUCGAAAUGACCCUUUCAGGGAGGAUCUAGAGCAUUUACUGUUAGCUGUGCUGUAUAAUGCAGCCACUGCUUUGGGAAUGUAGCGUACAGUAGAAACAUCAACUCAUUGCACAUAUCAGCCAGUAAAACCAUUGUGCUGGAGAGACAAGCAUGGCCGCCACCCUCGCUCACUCUCCCCAACGUUCUUCUUCGUUAUUUGACAAUAGGGAAGGGAGAGGUUGGAGGUGUAAGAGGAAAGCACGAUUUCCCAAUCCUUGCCGGUUUUUAAUAGUCUCAUGAAAUUUAGAUCAGAGAAGCAGCCAUGCAAACAGAGCCAAACACUUAUAUGCACCUAACUGUCAUUUUAUGGUGGUCUGCCUCAGCCUUCUUUUGUCUGGCUCUGACUUUGUCUAAACCUCAGACUUUCGGUGUAGUAAUGCCAUUUUGUAUCGGCAUAAGCUUCAGGAAAAGAAAGGUAAACAAAACAAACACAGAGCAUCCUGAGCAGAUAAUGAGCCUGCUUGCAGAACCUGCCGCAGAGAGACGGGCUCGUCGUUGAUGAGUUCAUGUUAUUUGGAUGGAGACUCGCACAGACAGAAUCUCAGAACAGCACACAGCAGAAUUGCACUGCACCAAACACAAAUGGCUUGGCUGUUUUCUGGGUUUUUUUGCACAGCGGCUUUAUUUUCCAGCAGUGUGAUCAGGCUCCUGCUGCAAGGUGUUUUGACUUCCGUCUCUUCGGAAUCAGCCUAGAAACAAAGAAACACCAACUGGAAAGGAAAGAUGUUAGGAGAAGCUGUGAAUAUUUAAACAGAAAAUGUGGUUGCGCCCAGAAACGUGAAAUUUUCACCCCCACCUUUAGAACUUAAUAUAAAAAGCAUGAUGCCUCCGGUAUCUGCAAAACUGACAACUGAGCAAAAGCAGCACUACUAAGUCAAAUAUAAUCAACCGAUCAACACGCAUGCUAAGCCUUUACAGGUCCUCCAAAGACUAAACACCUAUCAAAGCAGGCUCCCAAAAAAUUAAAGUAUAAAAUGAUUCAUAUCCGUUCAUGUUUUAUCAUGCCACAACCUCAAUCGACAAUGUAUGUUAAAAGAAUUUUACCUAACAGAAAAACACAACGUAGUGGAAUAUGAUAUGUGGUUUUUCAAGUUUGUAACAAAUGGAAAUGUGAAACAUGUUGCUUCAUUCUGAUUCUCAAUGCAACAAUCAGCCUUGAGAAGUCACCUGAUUCAUGAACAGGGUACAUCUGUAUGACAACUAUCAUUUUGUGUAUUAUAUAAUAUACAGAAUAAUGGGGAAAUAAAAGGAAUUGCUGAAAGAAA